UCUCUGUUAGUAUAUCGGUUAGUACACGCGCCUGUCAUGUGACUUAAUCUUCCAUUCUGUGCGCGCGAAAGCGGGGUUCGACUCCCCGACAGAGAG